rnacentral:hammerhead_ribozyme from 1 species
AUCCGGCUGACGAGUCCCAAACAGGACGAAACGCGCGUCAAACUGGAU